rnacentral:rRNA from 1 species
GAUGAACGCUAGCGGCAGGCCUAAUACAUGCAAGUCGAACGGAUAUAUGUUUUUCGGAAUAUAUAUUAGUGGCGCACGGGUGAGUAACACGUACAUAACUUGCCCUCAAGCGGGGGAUAGCCUUGGGAAACUGAGAGUAAUACCCCAUAGAAUUAUUGGACGGCAUCGUUUGAUAAUUAAAACUACGGUGUUUGGGGAUAGAUGUGCGUCUGAUUAGCUAGUUGGUGAGGUAACUGCUCACCAAGGCGACGAUCAGUAGGGGGCGUGAGAGCGUGGCCCCCCACACGGGUACUGAGACACGGACCCGACUCCUACGGGAGGCAGCAGUAAGGAAUAUUGGUCAAUGGAGGGAACUCUGAACCAGCCAUGCCGCGUGAAGGAUGACGGCCCUCUGGGUUGUAAACUUCUUUUGGAUGGGAACAAUAACUCCGACUUGUCGGAACUUGAGGGUACCAUCAGAAUAAGCACCGGCUAACUCCGUG